UACGUAGGGGGCAAGCGUUGUCCGGAUUUAUUGGGCGUAAAGAGCGUGUAGGCGGCCAGGUAGGUCCGUUGUGAAAACUCGAGGCUCAACCUCGAGACGCCGAUGGAAACCAUCUGGCUAGAGUCCGGAAGAGGAGAGUGGAAUUCCCGGUGUAGCGGUGAAAUGCGUAGAUAUCUGGAGGAACACCGGUGGCGAAGGCGGCGUUCUGGACUGCAACUGACACUGAGAGACGAAAGCCAGGGGAGCAAACGGG
rnacentral:rRNA from 1 species